GCGUUCAUAGCUCAGUUGGUUAGAGCACCACAUUGACAUGGUGGGGGUCGUUGGUUCGAGUCCAAUUGAACGCACCA
rnacentral:tRNA from 1 species